CUGUGGGGUCAGUCAGGUUAUCUGAUGUCAAAUCCCAGCAGUUUAAAUCCAUAAAUAAAUGUUUCUUGCCAAAGAAACAACAUGAUGAUUCAUUCUCUCUUUUUCUGGUGCCUGACAGGUGUCUGUCUGGGAUUCGAGGUCCGUCAGUCUCCCUCUGAGUUCAUCACAAA